CCAGUUGGUAGGGACUAUGGUUUCAGAUGUACCUGUAUCACGGGUUCUACCAAGUUCCCAAAGUCAUUAACCACUUCCGAAUAUUAUCGGGUUACAAGACUACUCUUGAUCCAAUAAGAUUCGUAUGAAAGUUUCGUUUGAGUGUAGUAUCGCGUAUCAACUAAUUCAAGACUACUCUUGAUUAGCCACCGCACUACGUCCUAAAAGGCCAAGAUGGGUUUAAGGUAACUAAAGGUCCUCAACUUUGACGGUCACUUGAAAAUACGAUGCCAACACGACUACUCAUGUCAACAUAAAAUUACUUCCAAGAUCCCUCCAUUGAGUGGGGUUGUACCACAUGAACCCAAACACGAGACUUGACUCUCGGAAAGGCACUUUGGUUAUACCACCGUCCUAUCUUAUGUUUCUCUCAAGCCCGGGUGUAGGACUUAUCUCACCACUCAUGUUUAAGAGAAAAGAGGAGAAAGAAAAGAGAAGAUAUGUACAACUAUUUCCAUCUUUUUGUUUUUUUGUUUUU
rnacentral:lncRNA from 1 species